GAUGAACGCUGACAGAAUGCUUAACACAUGCAAGUCUUUGGCGAAGCUGUGCUUGCACCGCCUAGCCAAGGCGGACGGGUGAGUAACGCGUAAGGAACUUGCCCUGCAGUCAGGGAUAACAGACGGAAACGACUGAUAAGACCUGGUAAAGUCAGGCGGACUCAUGUCCAGCCUGAUGAAAAGAGAUGCUGCAGGAGAGCCUUGCGUCCUAUUAGCUUGUUGGUGGGGUAACGGCCCACCAAGGCGAUGAUAGGUAGCCGGCCUGAGAGGGUGGACGGCCACAAGGGGACUGAGAUACGGCCCUUACUCCUACGGGAGGCAGCAGUGGGGAAUAUUGGACAAUGGGGGCAACCCUGAUCCAGCAAUUCUGUGUGCACGAUGAAGGUUUUCGGAUUGUAAAGUGCUUUCAGCAGGGAAGAAAAAAAUGACGGUACCUGCAGAAGAAGCGACGACUAAAUACGUG
rnacentral:rRNA from 1 species